UAUAAAGUGCCUGAUUAAAGGAUUAUUCUGAUAGAGUAAAUAAAAUAAUAAUAACUUAUUAUCUUUAUAA
rnacentral:tRNA from 1 species